GAUGAACGCUGGCGGCGUGCCUAAUACAUGCAAGUCGAGCGAACAGACGAGGAGCUUGCUCCUCUGACGUUAGCGGCGGACGGGUGAGUAACACGUGGAUAACCUACCUAUAAGACUGGGAUAACUUCGGGAAACCGGCGCUAAUACCGGAUAAUAUAUUGAACCGCAUGGUUCAAUAGUGAAAGACGGUUUUGCUGUCACUUAUAGAUGGAUCCGCGCCGCAUUAGCUAGUUGGUAAGGUAACGGCUUACCAAGGCAACGAUGCGUAGCCGACCUGAGGGGGUGAUCGGUCACACUGGAACUGAGACACGGUCCAGACGCCUACGGGAGGCAGCAGUAGGGAAUCUUCCGCAAUGGGCGAAAGCCUGACGGAGCAACGCCGCGUGAGUGAUGAAGGUCUUCGGAUCGUAAAACUCUGUUAUUAGGGAAGAACAAAUGUGUAAGUAACUAUGCACGUCUUGACGGUACCUAAUCAGAAAGCCACGGCUAACUACGUG
rnacentral:rRNA from 1 species